AUCGUAUUCUUCCAUGGAGCACCGGGGUGGCAGAUCUCCAGGAGAACCCAUUCUGCCUUUCAUUGAGGUUGCCUUCCAUCCUGGAGUCAAGUUCUGCCCAACAUCACAGGAUUUAGUUGCCUCCUUCACUCCUUUUUGGCUACUAGGCUACUAUUCUAUAUACUAAGUAUCGCACUCUGAGUCUUCCUGGCCAAUAUAACUGGAUUGAGAAGCACCUAAAAGAUAGAUCUUUGGAACCUUCAUGAAACUACUUCCAUGUUGGAAUGUGGAAUUUGGGGAACUUGAAUCUGUAUUUCCUGGCUGUGACCACUCUCAUAUUUUGCUCCAGAAUAAACUAUCUCCUAUCUCUUUUGAGGGACCAAAUCCACGCCCUCAUUCAUGAUGCUCAAACCCUCUACCUCCGAGUCACAUCGCGGCCCUGUGAAUGCUUAUUCUCACGAGUGUCCUGAAGCCUCCUGGCAGCCCUGCUCUGUAACUUACAUAAAAGUAAUGGCUGACGUAUUCCACAACCAGAACCAUUGUAGCUGUCUUCAAAUGCUUGAAUGGAGAAGGAUCCUGGGCCUCAGUAGAACAGUGGGAUGAGAAAGCUAACUUAGUUCAUCCAUCUGUGCUUGUCUACCAUGAUACCCAACAAACAACACACCGUUUGCACCAUUUGAAACUGCCCAACACACGAGUCCUCUCUGUAUUCCCCAAACUUCAUUUAUUCCACACAGAAUCUCUGGACUCAUUAAACAGUACCAGUGCCUGGGCCAGCAAGAUGGAUGGCUUGGUGGGUAAAGGUGCCUGCUACAGAGCCUGAGGAUGCCAGCCCAACCCCUGGAACCCACACGGUGGAAGAAAACUAACUUUAACAAGCUGUCUUUUGAUGUCCACAUGUGAGUUGAGGUGUGAGCCCCCCUCCUUAGCUAAACAGACCUAUGUAAUAAAAAAGUAAUUCAAACCAA
rnacentral:lncRNA from 1 species